rnacentral:rRNA from 1 species
UACGUAGGAGGCAAGCGUUAUCCGGAUUUACUGGGCGUAAAGAGGGCGUAGGCGGCCUUUUAAGUCGGAUGUGAAAUUUCCCGGCUCAACCGGGACGGGUCAUUCGAUACUAUCAGGCUUGAGGGCAGCAGGUGGAGACGGAACUCCCGGUGUAGUGGUGGAAUGCGUAGAUAUCGGGAAGAACACCAGAGGCGAAGGCGGUCUCCAAGGCUGUUUCUGACGCUGAGGCCCGAAAGCGUGGGGAGCGAACAGGAUUAGAUACCCUCGUA